AUUGAACGCUGGCGGCAUGGCUAAGACAUGCAAGUCGAACGGUUAAAGCCUUCGGGUGCAUAAAGUGGCGAAAGGGCGAGUAAUGCGUUCCGACGUACCUCCUGGUCAGGGAUAGCCCGGGGAAACCCGGAGUAAUACCUGAUGUGGUCUCCGGAUCAAAGGCUUCGGUCGCCAGGAGAGCGGGGAACGUCCUAUCAGGUUGUUGGUGAGGUAACGGCUCACCAAGCCGAAGACGGGUAGCGGGUGUGAGAGCAUGACCCGCCGCAUCGGGACUGAGACACUGCCCGGACUCCUACGGGAGGCUGCAGUAACGAAUAUUCCGCAAUGCGCGAAAGCGUGACGGAGCAAUGCCGCGUGCAGGAUGAAGCCUUUCGGGGUGUAAACUGCUGUCAGGGUACAGGAACACAAUGACCAUACCCAAAGGAAGGGCCGGCUAACUUCGUG
rnacentral:rRNA from 1 species